CUCUGCUACCCCAUGGACUGUAGCCAGCUAGGCUCCUCUGUCCAUGGGAUUCUCCAGGCAAGAAUACUGGAAUCGGUCACCAUUUCCUCCUCCAGGGGAUCUUCCUGACCCAGGGAUCAAACCCAGGGUUCCUGUGUCUCCCACAUUGGCAGGCAGAUUCUCUACCACUGAGCCACCUGGGAACCCCAUGGGGGUUUCAUGGGCCCCCCUUUAAUGGAUGAAGAAACUGGCUCAGAGAGGUGAGUGGUCUGCCCAGGUCUCACAGUCAAAUGGCAGAGCUGGGACUUGGGACAAGCUGUCUGUGGAAUCCUGCUGCAGCCUCACUUUCUACGCCAGCUCACCAGCAUACCAGAGAUUGGUCACUGUGUCACAAUCACAGUGAGGAUCUAGUUCAAAUAGCCUUCUGAGACUCUGCCGACCCUCCUCCCCUUCUCCUGGGUCCUCCCUUCUCAGGGGACUGAACAGUGACUUCCCCUGUACUCUCAACGUGAUAUGCUGUGGGGUGCUUCCAGUGCCUGCUGCCUUCCUGUCUGGUUCUCCAAAGACAAGCCUCCCUCUGCCCAAGGUGGGUCCCAGUAGGGAGACGCUUGGGCAUUGGAGAUUGGCAAAAUCUGGCCAGAUCUCUGGGCUCCUGCAUCCAAGUGGACCACAUGCUUGUCUCUGAUGUUCACAGCUGGUUCCAGGCACCUGACUCCUGACAGUCAAACUCAUGAGAGACUGAAACACCUCAACUGGCCUUUCACAUUUUUAAGUUGGGUGUGCUUGUAGGGUGGGGAGAAACUAUGUAUCUCCAGUGACCAAAAUAUUUGCACCUGUUACCCAGAGCAAUCUUUUAUUUUCAACGGAAAGAAACUGACAUGCCAAAGGCAUUUAAACUUCAGGGGAGGGUCUGCUGUCAGUGGCCUGGCCAGAGGCAGAAGGAUGUCAGAGUCCCACCAGGCCUCAGGGAAGAAGCAAGAUUUACGAGGUGAGAGCCCGCCUGGGCCGCCUCUGUUGGAAAGGCCUCCCUGCAGUAUUUUCUGUCUCAUCAACGCUGCAUUUCAUUUUAAAUUGCAGCUGAAAGCGGAUAUUUUCCCUCUUGCCUAUUACACCUCUUAAUUUGUCUC
ensembl:lncRNA